rnacentral:rRNA from 1 species
CCUACGGGAGACAGCAGUGGGGAAUAUUGCACAAUGGGCGAAACCCUGAUGCAGCGACGCCGCGUGAGUGAAGAAGUACCUCGGUAUGUAAAGCUCUAUCAGCAGGGAAGCAGAAAGACGGUACCUGACUAAGAAGCGCCUGCUAACUACGUGCCAGCAGCCUCGGUAAUUCGUAGGGGGCAAGCGUUAUCCGGAUUUACGGGGGGUAAAGGGAGGGUAGACGGCUGUGCAAGGCUGAAGUGAAAGCCUAGGGCUCAACCCUGAGACUGCUUUGGAAACUGUGGAGCUAGAGUGCUGGAGAGGUAAGCGGAAUUCGUAGUGUAGCGGUGAAAUGCGUAGAUAUUAGGAAGAACCCCAGUGGCGAAGGCGGCUUACUGGACAGUAACUGACGUUGAGGCUCGAAAGCGUGGGGAGCAAACAGGAUUAGAUACCCGGGUAGUC